ACAGCAGUCGCCGCGGGAAUACAGAGGGUGCAAGCGUUAAUCGGAAUUACUGGGCGUAAAGCGCGCGUAGGUGGUUUGUUAAGUUGGAUGUGAAAUCCCCGGGCUUAACCUGGGAACUGCAUCCAAAACUGGCAAGCUAGAGUAUGGUAGAGGGUGGUGGAAUUUCCUGUGUAGCGGUGAAAUGCGUAGAUAUAGGAAGGAACACCAGUGGCGAAGGCGACCACCUGGACUGAUACUGACACUGAGGUGCGAAAGCGUGGGGAGCAAACAGGAUUAGAUACCCCUGUAGUCCCUGUCUCUUAUAC
rnacentral:rRNA from 1 species